CGCUAAUUUAGCCACACCCGUCGCGAGGCGGGGCCGGAAAGUUGCGGGUCUCAUGCGUUUGAGAUGGCCGGGCCGCCUCC
rnacentral:ncRNA from 1 species